GACGUUAUAGCUCCGUGGCAGAGUGCAUGCUUAGCAUGCAUGAGGUCCUGGGUUCAAUCCUCAGUACCUCCA
rfam:Camelus ferus unplaced genomic scaffold scaffold1111, whole genome shotgun sequence.